CGGCGUGCUUAACACAUGCAAGUCGAGCGGUAAGGCCCCUUCGGGGGUACACGAGCGGCGAACGGGUGAGUAACACGUGAGUAACCUGCCCCUGACUCUGGGAUAAGCCCGGGAAACCGGGUCUAAUACCGGAUACGACUUCUCACCGCAUGGUGGGGGGUGGAAAGGUUUGUUCCGGUCGGGGAUGGGCUCGCGGCCUAUCAGCUUGUUGGUGGGGUGAUGGCCUACCAAGGCGAUGACGGGUAGCCGGCCUGAGAGGGCGACCGGCCACACUGGGACUGAGACACGGCCCAGACUCCUGCGGGAGGCAGCAGUGGGGAAUAUUGCGCAAUGGGCGGAAGCCUGACGCAGCGACGCCGCGUGGGGGAUGACGGCCUUCG
rnacentral:rRNA from 1 species